GAGCAGUUUGUCCGUUUAGGGCUACUGUAGAAACAUGCUGGCGCAAAAUGGCGACUUCCAUGUAAGGGGACCCGUGGUGUAUGUAGAUAGAAAUGGCUCAUUCUAAGGAGGGGGCGGGACUGCAGAUUCUAGAGAGUAUUUAAUUGGACAGAAGAUUUGAUGAGAAGCUGAAGUCUGCAGUGAUGUCUUGAAAAUCCGUGAUCUGUUUUAGCGGAAGUGAGAGACUGUGGGCUUCAUCCACAUCAUAACAGCCACAAGGGAGCAGAACACAACAUAAAGCCGUCCACUGCGGCCCAUCUUCUGCCACAUCUGCCACACGGUGCCAUGUGUGUUUGGAGAUGUCAAAUACUUUCAGUCUGCUGUAAGGUGUGAACUGGGCUGGAACAGAACGACUUAGCGGGGGCCAUGGCCAAUGAGGACGAGACAAAGACUGUGCUUUGUAGCAACCAUGGAAAAAAACAACUCUGCCUCUUUCUAAGAACCUUAUAAUGUUUUUAUGAGGUGGUGAGAUGCACUGCCCCCCAGAUUUAAAGUACUCAAAACUUUCUAUGCUUAUGAGAUUUUAUGACUUUAAAUGCUUGUGUUUUGUUCCUACAAAGCACACAUCUGUUUGGAAAGAAGAGAAGCUGGCGUGUUGUUUCAGGUGCUGUUUUCUUUUCUCUUUCUUAAGCCGUAUUGGGUCAGUGUAUGUAAGAGACGAAACAGAACAUCUCGUCCUCACACUUGGCAUUAUUCAUUCAGGCCAGGGCUUGAAACUGACAGCCACCUAGUAAACAAUUACUGCAGCCAGUUGACUUAUUGUUUAAAGUCAGCAUGAAACAGCUUCCACCAGACCUAGACCCCAAAAAUACUGUACAGAAGUAACACUUCUACUUAAAGUCGGCAUGAAACGGAAGUUGCGAUAGUCUUUUCUUCCCUAUUGUGACAUAUCUGAAUGAAACAGGUUCUUGAACAAGAAAAAAAAAAAAUUUAGGGAGAUUUUGUGCAUUGAUUUUGUGCAUUGAGAAUUGAUUGGAUGGUUGUGGUUUGCUAUUGCUGUGAUCUCAUGUGAGUGACAGGUUGCCCCCGCCCUCACGCCAGUAAACACGUCAUCGAAGAGAAGAGAAGAGAAGAGAAGAGAAGAGAAGAGAAGAGAAGAGAAGAGAAGAGAAGAGAAGAGAAGUCUCUGCAAUAGGGAGAGCAGUGUUGUCAAAAGUACCAACUUUGAUACCAAGUUGGUAAUGAAAUUUUUAAAAGUGAUGCUUUAAGCGCUUCGUAAACACCUCUGAUUGGCUAUUGUGUUCACGCACUCAACAUAUAUGUCUGUGAUUGGCUACAAUGAUCAACGCUUUAAAAACAUGUUGUAAAUAGACAUCAAUGAUGCUCUUCACAGAGCUUACACAGAUACACACCGGAGUCUUUUCUUCCCUAUUGUGACAUAUGAAACUGCUUCUCAAACAAGAAAAAAUGUAGGGAGGGACUUGAUUUACUGCAUCAGGAAUUGAUUGGAUGGUUGUGGUUUGCUAUUGCUGUGAUCUCAUGUGAGCGACAGGUUGCCCCCGCCCUCACGCCAGUUAACAUGUCAUCAGAGAAAAGAAGAGAUGUCUCUGCAAUAAGGAGAGUAGUGUUGUCGAUACCAAGUCGGUACUGACAUUUGAAAAAUGUGACGCUUUGAGCGCUGUUGAGCGGAUUCGUAAACACCUCUGAUUGGCCGUUGUGUUCACACGCUUAACAUAUAUGUCUGUGAUUGGCUACAAUGAUCAACG